AUGACCCCUGCAAGGACCACCUUUGCUCGCUCUGAGCACCAGCACAAAUCUGCAGAGGAGACCUCAAGUACCACUCAGCUCUCACUAUCAAGCAGCACCAGGGAAGCUGAGUGUAGUGGAACAGCCUCCAAGGAAGGCCCAGUGGAAGCCUUUCAAACUCAAGAGUUUCUCAGAUGCACAGAAACUGUCAACUUGAGGAAAAGUGAAGACAAAGGUCAAAAAGGUGUGGGUUAUCUGGACCAGACAAUUCAACUGGCAGAGAUGAGGGAAACACUACACCAGCCCAAAAGCACAACGCUGUCUGCUGCUUCCAAAAUAAGAGCCAUUAAUGCGAUCAUCAAGAACCACGCACAUUCUGUAAGACGGCCACAUCACCAAGGAGCUGCUGGUCUGCCAGUCCCAAAUGUCGUUGAAGGAGAAAAUCCGAAGUGUCAAAGAGGUGAAAUCUGUUCAGAGGAGGUGCUCCCUAAGCCUACAGAGCCACAGAUGAGGGAGCCACUGAGACAGCCCAAAAGCAAAAUCAAUUCUGCGGCUUCCAGAAUUAAGGCUAUCAAUGAAAUUCACAGAAAUCAGAAACAUUCUCAAAGACAUCCAAAGCAGGAAGGAGCUGCUUUUCUGGCAGAGAAUGUGCAAGGGUUCAAAACCACAAAAUCCGACAUAGAGAACAAAGACGCCAGCUUCACGGUCUCUGUGUUGUGCAGUAAUGCACAACAAGUUUAAAUAAAAAGGUGAAAUGACUUAAAACUAAUAGACUUGUCUGAACUUUUUCUGCCUGUCUCUCUUGCUAGGAGUCUCAGCAGUCUUCUGCCAUCUCUCUUUGGCAAAGACAUGUUUGAAAAGAAAAAACUAAAAAUCACAAUCAGGGAAAGAGCUCUGGAUCUCCAAAGUACCAAUCUGCAGGUCUUAUAUGCAGGCUACCAUUAUGUCAGGAUAACAACAAUCUGCUGCCCAGGAAGAUUAAUCUUACUUUGAAUUCAGUAGACACUACAAUACUAUGCUCCUCAGAAAAUCAGCUUACAUUUGAGACCUGCUUUUCAUCCCAAAAGGUGGAUUCUUCUGCUAUCAGAAAGGUGCCAUUAAACACUGUCACCACCAGAGCAACACACAGACUAAAUGGAUAUGUAGUUGAGACCAGGGGGAAAGGGGACCACUGUAGAACAAUGAGUCCAAUCGUAAGGUCCAUAAACCCUUGCACAAGUUGCUUCCAGUCAGUAGAAAACUACCUGUUACUCCUCAACAUCAGAAACCCUGCUUGCAGAUGUUAGAAAGAACCAAACAUUCCAACCUCCUGGCCCCUGCCCCAACAAGAGUCCAUCUCCAAGCUCU
rnacentral:lncRNA from 1 species